rnacentral:rRNA from 1 species
CUGACGCAGCGACGCCGCGUGAGUGAUGACGGCCUUCGGGUCGUAAAGCUCUGUGGGGAGGGACGAACAAGCCUGGAGCUAAUACCCCGGGCUCUGACGGUACCUCCUUAGCAAGCACCGGCUAACCCUGUGCCAGCAGCCGCGGUAAUACAGGGGGUGCAAACGUUGCUCGGAAUUAUUGGGCGUAAAGCGCGCGUAGGCGGCUACUUAUGUCGGAUGUGAAAGCCCUUGGCUCAACUGAGGAAGCGCACCCGAAACUGACUAGCUGGAGUACGAAAGAGGGUCGCGGAAUUCCCGGUGUAGAGGUGAAAUUCGUAGAUAUCGGGAGGAACACCGGUGGCGAAGGCGGCGACCUGGGUCGAUACUGACGCUGAGGCGCGAAAGCGUGGGGAGCAAACAGGAUUAGAUACCCUGGUAGUCCACGCCGUAAACGAUGAGUGCUAGAUGUUUCUGGUAUUGACCCCGGAGGCGUCGUAGCUAACGCGUUAAGCACUCCGCCUGGGGAUACCGGCCCAAGGUUAAAAACUC